rnacentral:lncRNA from 1 species
AUGGCUCAGCCCGAGAGCCGACUUCGGGCGCCGGACCGGCUCGACAGCGGCGCGGCUCAGACAUUCGGGUCUGUGACUUUGUGCAUUGGAUCCUCUCCCAGCCGGGUCAGGGGGCUCGCUGGUGCCCGCCGCAUCUCCCCAGGACGGUGCAGGGCAGCCGGAGCGCCGCGCGCAGCAGAGCCCGGGUACCGCUCCGGCUGGGAACCGGGGCCAGGGAUACAGUCAGCAAAAGUCAGUGAGUCGAGAGAGCAUCCCGGGGGGGAAAACCGAGGUCUGCUUUGCCUUUGCAUUUGGCCAGAGUGGAGGAGAAGGUGGGACACCUCCCGAGGGGCGGGGAUGCUCGGGAGGAGAGAGAUGAAGGCUACGGGCAGUAGGUCGCCUCUUUUCCGAAUGGCAGUUCUACACCGUCCUGCUUUUCAUUUUACUUUUUACCUAUUGUUUUUUUCCCCUGCGUCUUUCUAUUUGGAGCACCUUGGGUGGUGGCGGCAGGUGAGGGUCGGGGGAGGCGUGGCGCCCACCCGCGGAGCGAGCGAGUCGACCCCUCUCGGCCCCAGCGGCGCACUCGCACGCCUGCCGUCUCCAGGUGCGCUCUCCCAGCCGGACGCGGACCGCGCGCUGCUCCCCCUUCUGGCCCCAGCCUGUCCCGGGAGCCGGAGGGCCGGCUUCCAGAGCCGGGGAAUAGGAUGGAGAAGCGGGGAUGCAGGACGCGGGUGCGGGGUGCGCUGGGCUCGGCGGUUGAGUGCCGGCGCUCUGCGCCUCCCAAGUCACCUCCUCCGCCGCCGGGCGCCCGCGCUUCCCCGCGCACCCAGGCCGCUGGCUCGCGAGCGGGGCCGCAUCCCUCCUCCACCCUCCACCGUGCAGGACCAGACGUUGCCUCGCGGUGCCUCGCCUCGCGCGCGUCUCGCUCCUCCCCCAGCAUUAUCCGAGGGCUAUUUUUAUCCACUACUUGCGAGAAGAUGCUUUGGGGAGAUUCUGGGGAGGCGACUCCAAAUCCACUCUCUUCGCGCUGCGCUCCCAGCAGCGGCACCCUGCUAG